UUGAGCCGGAUGAGAGGAAACCUUCAUGUCCGUUUUUGAAAGGGGGAGAUCUUAUUGGAUUNGAUCCUAUCUAAAUUUUUCGUUUGGUAGACCCGUAGUUAAAAUACCCACUUUCU
rfam:Vigna radiata var. radiata cultivar VC1973A chromosome 5, whole genome shotgun sequence